GGGAAGGUAGCCCAGACAGCAUGUAUGUCAGCUUGCAAGCAUUUAGCCACAUCUUUGAUGCAACUUUUGCUGGAAGCUGAAGUAAGGCAACUCACCUUGGGAGCAUUGCAGCAGUUCAACUUGGAUGUCAGAGAAUGUGAACAGUUUGCCAGAUCCGGCCCGGUGCCUGGGUUCCAGGAGGACACGCUGCAGUUGGCCUUCAUCGACUUGAGACAAGUAAGUCUUUGUGUUUUUGUUUUUUGUUUUUCUUUUAAGAUGUGUGACUGAAGACCAUCAGGUCUUAAGGAAAAGGGGAGGGGAGGGGGAUUGGCAUUGGCGAUUCAAACUGGAGACCUAAGGGUUUUUCCCUGUGUUUGAGGCCACCUCUUUUAUUUAGCUAUCUGGGAUCCUUAGCUAUGGUGGAGUUAAAGGUUUUGUGGGCAGAAGGGAAGGCAGGAGGUGGGAGGAGGGACCCAGAAUGUAGAGGGACUCAAGUGACCCUCAAGUGAUGUGACCCAUUGUGCUAUAGUUGGCUUUCGCAGACACAGCAAAAAGAUAACUCGGCAAACCAAUGCUAAGCAGGUGCAUUGAUGCAGAGACUGCCUGCCUGGUAAACUUUUGUUAGCAGAUAAUGGGGGCAGUAGGAUUUAAGAAAAAUGAAACAUUUUACAGUCUGGAUUGUUGGUUUGAUUUGGUGACUUUUUCCUGUUGCUUUAAGUCUUCCCAUCCCCUCCUUUGUAGAAUGAGGUCAGCCAUGAGUAACUAAGUGGUCACUUUAGAUGACUAGCAAAGGCCCUGACCAGUCGUGCUAACUGAACAGGCGACCCUAUUAAAGUCAUGUGAUGAAAGGUAGUAUUAGAUCAACCUGAGUUCUGCAAGCCCAUCAGAUAGAAAGAGUUGUUCUAUAGGGCUGUUGAUUGCAAUUUGAAAAGGGUGGGUUGGUAGGCCUUGGUGGAUUGGGUAUAGAAGAGCAGUAUGGGGGGGGCUGAAAGAGGGAGAGAGUUAACUGGGCUCUGUCAUCUCUUCACUCUGAAGAUGGAUGGGGUUGGAUAGAAAGUGUGAAUGAAGUAAGAAUCAAUGACUGAUGUUCUCUCCUAUUAAAACAAUCUUUUUUUUUUUUUUUGUCUGUUUUUAAAAGGGGGCUGGCUUUGUUUCUGCUGCCAUAAUGAUGCAGUGCCUCUUGUUUUCAGAGCUGACAAAGUUUGCAUUCUGAAAACUUUUAGAUGCCCAGGGUAUUUCUUAAAGCUGUAGGACCCCUUGUAUUGGUAGUCUCCUUACCACUGUGACUCGAUUCAUGCUAGAACAGCUUUUAACCCAUAAUGGAUGGCCUGAGCUACCCCUGAAUCCUUGUGGAUGGGUGGUGUAAUCUGUCAUCUGAUGACAAUUCUGGAAAGCCCUGUUAAGCAGAAAACAGAAAAUUGUGUCUCUAUAGAUCCGCCAAAGUUUGAGGAUUCAGACCGUGUCCUGGAAACGUGUGUCAACUUAAUAUUUAGGGGUUGAGGUGGGGGGUUCUCUUACACAUAAAGGCUUUCCCAGCAUGGUCCCAAAUGGAGCUGAGUAUGUCCUUCCACACGUAAGGCCUUCUACCUGUGGAUUCAGCAACUCAACUGUGACUUUUAGGUUUUAGCCCCUUGGCUAAUGUAAGGCUGAGAGAUUGGGAUUUUGCUUAGGGUUUUAUGGAGUGGUAUCUGUCGGACUUUACCCUGGCUGUUUCUUCUCAGAGACUUCUGAGCCAAUUGGCUUUUCUUGGAAAGCAGAAAUUGAAUUUCAUUGGAGAAAAACAUCCAAGGAAAAAAUUUUCCCUUCUCACUCUUCAUGAAAGGGAAAUGUGGUCAUUCUCUCAAGUUUGUGGUUUUGGUCCCUAUGGAAAGCAACUGGUGUUCACAGAAAAUGUUAACUAAGGGAAUAAGUUAGAAAGCGCAGCCAAGAUAAGGUGGAUCUGAGCCGGGGAUGAAUGUUCAACUACUUGUGAGCUCUCAGUGAGCACUGUUUUUUAUGCUUAAGUUCCUAUUUUCUGUUAGGUUUCUGUUCUCAGAGCUCCUUUUAGGAAGUGUUAGCACUGAAAAUCAAAACUCCAAAAUUUCACUGAAUCAUGAAAGAGUAUGCUUCUUCCUAGUGAAUCUAUCACUUAAUUUCUCUUUAUAUCUGUCUUUCCUAAAGCAGCUUACCUUUUUCUUAGAUGAUGUGAAAAAUGUCUCUCGCUCAUGAUUAGCAAGCCUCAGGUAGGUUGAAUCAGUGCGAGAAAAAUUAUCUUUCCACAUCCCAUGCUGAAAAUAUUUCUCUCUCUGCUGUUCAUCCUAGUCAUUCUCAGAACUUAAAGUGAGCAUCAUUUUAAAGGGAUCAUAUGAUGAACUAUAUAAGAGAUGUUCAAACUGUAAAUAGAAAGCCUGGAACUAUGUUUUCAAAGGAGAUAUCUUGACCCUAAAUAAAACAUGAUUAGGUAUUCUUGAAUAUGUGUCCUUUUGCCUAUACUCUUUGGAAUCCUUAAAUAGAGUUAUGAAUGUGGAUGGGGGGCAGGGCGCUGCUGGGUGCUGAUCUUAAAUGUCAAAUAGUAUAACUAUAUGAUACUUGACUAUAAAUGAUACUUUAUACUUGAAUCCCUAUUCAGCACCCCCGACUGUGCUUGAACCUUCUCCUUGAAGUGAACUUGCUGUCCCAAAGCAGCAGGGUCCACUUUAGGACAAUCUGAUUAUAAUAUAGGUAUUUCUUAAGUUGGCUAAAAUCUCUCUCACUUAACCCUGACCCUUUCACUCUUCAUAUUUUUAUUAAUGCAUCAGUUUGUGGGACAGUUUUGCUAUCCUGAUUUACUGAGCUUCCUGUCUGCUAGUAAUCGGAUCUUUUUCAUAUAUAGCAUUGUUACCAAUUCCUUAUCUAGUCCGUAUAUGUGAUUUUAUAGACCAACAUUGAAAUCUUCGCUCCCUUUAGCCUCCUUUUUUUUAGACAUAUUAUUAACGACAUAGAUUUUUUUAAAUCAUUCUUAUUUAUUUAGCCUGUCUAAACCUUUUUAAGGUCCUGAUUCAGUUAUCCACCUUACUAUCUCCUUAACCAUUAUGCCCUCGAGAAGUCAAAAUAACCAUAUUGUAGCCGAAGUUAAACAAAGAAGUUAAAGUUGAGGCAAGUUAUAGGAUUCAUACAGGCACCCCAAACAAAAAGAGGAUUUGUCCUCAGUUCAGUGCAGCAAGGAUAUUCAUUUACUGUCGUUGAGUGUAUUUUCCUCACUGGUUUAUGAAUAUCUUUAUUCUGAUCAUGCUUACAUGUUCUUUUGCUUCAGAGUGUUUCAGACCCUAUCAAUUGAAUGGUAAUUUUUAAAAUAUUCAAAAUGUGGAAUAUUUGAUGAGAUCAUCUCUGUAUAGACCAUUAUAGCCGUGUCAUUUAAAAGCCAUAGAAUUUUAUUAGGAAGCAAAUUAGAUGUGGCUAGCAAAACUAUUCAUCCUUUCUCAGCUGUCCUGUCUAUUCCGAUUUUUCUACUUCUUAAGGAAAAAAGUGAAAUGGCAUUUUGAAUACACAGGCUUUCAUGAUAUUUUACAUUUCUAUAGCACUUAAAGUGUAUUUACAUACAUAUCCCAUUUGUCAGGUUUCUGGGUUUAGAAAACCAGCUGUUAAUGUGAAUUACUGCAAAUCAAAAUCUCUGUCUUUGCCAGCUUAUAAUUUCUGUAUUUCCAAGCUCAUAAAAGCAGAAUUGCAGUACAAUGCCCAUUCAUGUAUCAAAUAUAUAUGUGCAUAUUUUUAUCAAAAUCCUAAUUUCAGUUAAUGCUAAAUCUUGAGAAGGGAACUUAAGGCUCACUUAUUAACUUUCUUGAAGUGCCAUGUAUAUUCCAAGUACUAAUAGUUACUGGCCUGUAAUGGUUCAUAAUGAGAAUAACAAUAUAAGGCCAGUAUAACUCUCAGUAGUUAUUUGAUUCUUAAACAGUUACUGUGGUUUGUAUUUCCUUUUGUUGUGAAACACUAAUAAUGCCGGUGAACAGCAGAAUUUGAACUUCAUUUGACAUUCAUUUCAGUUUAUUAAACUCUGAGUGCCUACUAUGAACAGAGUAUAACUUAGGUGUUGUGAGAAUACACAAAUGAAUAUAAUACAGAUACUUGAUUCUAAUAGAAGGCACCCUGUGAUUCUAAUAUAAAGCACACUGUGAUUAAGAUAAUAUAAUAUAUAUUAUAAUAAUAAUAUAUUAAGAUAAUAUAAGGCACACUGUGAUUAAGAAUUUUUUUGGAAGAAUAAAACUAUUGUGUAUGUUUCAAUUAUUCAACAGCUUUUGCUACUUAAAUCACCCCAAAACAUAUUGUCUUAAAACGAGUACCUUUUUUUUGGCUAUACCUGGGCACAUGGAAGUUCCCAGGCCAGGGACUGAAUCUGAGCCGCAGCUGCAACAUACGCCACGGCUGCAGCAACACCAGAUCCUUAACCCACUGUGUUCUCUGAGGAAUUCCAAGAACCAUUUAUUUAGCUCAAGUUUCUACAGAUUGGUUAGCUUCAGCUGGGCUCACUCAUACUUUGAGAUCAACUGCUAGACUGGUUAGGGACCGCCUGAUCUAGGGUGCCUUAGCUAAGCUGACUCUUCUCUGCUUCUUGUGAUCUCUCAUGUACCAGCAGCCCAGGCCAGGCUUAUUCAUAUGGCAUCUUGGCAGGGUUCCAGGAGAGCAAGAGGAAAUGUGAAAACCUCUUGAGGACUACACUUGAAGCUAGCAAGCCCUCACUUCUUCCACAUUCUGUUGGCUAGAGCUAGUCACAGGAUCAGCCCAAAUUCAAGGAAUGGGGAAAUAGACUCCAGCUUAGGAGUUCCCGUCGUGGUGCAGUGGUUAACGAAUCCGACUAGGAACCAUGAGGUUGAGGGUUCUAUCCCUGGCCUUGCUCAGUGGGUUAACGAUCCGGCGUUGCCGUGAGCUGUGGUGUAGGUUGCAGACACGUCUCAGAUCCUGAGUUGCUGUGGCUCUGGUGUAGGCUGGCGGCUACAACUCUGAUUGGACUCCUAGCCUGGGAACCUCCAUAUGCUGCGGGAGCGGCCCAAGAAAUGGCAAAAAGACAAAAAAAAAA
rnacentral:lncRNA from 1 species